CCACAUGGAGAACUGGCUUGUGGCAGCCAAGCGUUCGAAGCGACGUUCCUGCUU
rnacentral:rRNA from 1 species